CACCUCGCUCCCCUGUAUCAUGUGAUGAUAUACUCUUCGCAAGUGCAUGUGCUCUCUCAUUUUUCCAACUCUCUCUUUCUUUCCUCCCAUCUCUCACCUGUAUAGCCCUCUAGAUGAUGAGACCUUCAUUUCUCCUCUCCCUCUGUCUCCUAACUACUACGGCCUUCUAUCUCUGCCCCUCCUCAAGCUCACCGGUCGAUUCCUCAGUUUUACAAGAAACCAGACGACAGGCCACGAUGACAGGAGAUAUAAACCUACCCUUUCUCGACAGAAAGCUCAAAAGCCACAACAUCAAGGUUCUUGAUGACAAAAGUAAAAAAUCAAAUGUUCAACAGGGUGGUGCUGAACUUCAGACUUUGAGCAACAAUGACAGCACAGAUGACCUCGUGUAUCACAUCGACUACCAUGGAGUUACAACUCAUCCAACUCCAACUCCAAAACACCCCUAAAACACGGCAAACACGGGUGAUUCAGCUUUGUCCAACUUGUUAUGUAUCCUCUCCAAUACAAAAAAUCAUCAUGCAUCAAUUACUUAUAUUAUUAGAAACAUUCUUCAUGCAUCUUUUCCUUACAUUUCGAUUUCAUAAAGGACAUAGUUGUCACAGUAAUCCGCAAAGAGGAAAUGAAUUAUGACUAAUCUAGAAUAAAAUUCAGCUUUGCCAUCUGCUCGCUCAAAUACAGUGAUCAAGGAGAUCAUCAUUCUAUGCGCUUGCCUACUUUCCAAUCUAACAGUACUUUGUUCCUCAA